rnacentral:rRNA from 1 species
UACGUAGGGUGCAAGCGUUAAUCGGAAUUACUGGGCGUAAAGCGUGCGCAGGCGGUUUGCUAAGACCGAUGUGAAAUCCCCGGGCUUAACCUGGGAACUGCGUUCGAGACUGCAUUGCUAGAGUAUGGGAGAGGGAAGUGGAAUUUCCGGUGUAGCGGUGAAAUGCGUAGAUAUCGGAAGGAACAUCAGUGGCGAAAGCGACUUCCUGGACCAAUACUGACGCUCAUGUGCGAAAGCGUGGGGAGCAAACAGG